rnacentral:rRNA from 1 species
UACGGGGGGGGCAAGCGUUGUUCGGAAUUACGGGGCGUAAAGGGCGCGUAGGCGGCCUGCUAAGUCGGAUGUGAAAUCCCUCGGCUCAACCGAGGAACUGCAUCCGAUACUGGCGGGCUUGAAUCCGGGAGAGGGAUGUGGAAUUCCAGGUGUAGCGGUGAAAUGCGUAGAUAUCUGGAGGAACACCGGUGGCGAAGGCGGCAUCCUGGACCGGUAUUGACGCUGAGGCGCGAAAGCUAGGGGAGCAAACGGG